CUACGGGGCGCUGCAGUGAGGAAUUUUGCGCAAUGGGGGUAACCCUUACGCCUCCACGCCGCGUGAGUGAUGAAGGCUUUCGGGUCGUAAAGCUCUGUCAAGUGGGAAGAAUAUACGAAAUGCUAAUACCAUUUUGUACUGACGGUACCACUGAAGGAAGCACCGGCUAACUCCGUGCCAGCAGCCGCGGUAAUACGGGGGGUGCAAGCGUUAUUCGGAAUUAUUGGGCGUAAAGAGCACGUAGGCGGCCGCUUAAGUCAGAGGUGAAAGCCCGGGGCUCAACCCCGGAAGUGCAUUUGAAACUAAGUGGCUUGAGUAUGGGAGAGGGAAGUGGAAUUCCUGGUGUAGAGGUGAAAUUCGUAGAUAUCAGGAGGAACACCGGUGGCGAAGGCGACUUCCUGGACCAAUACUGACGCUGAGGUGCGAAGGCGUGGGGAGCAAACAGGAUUAGAUACCCGCGUAGUC
rnacentral:rRNA from 1 species